rnacentral:rRNA from 1 species
GGUUAAGCGACUAAGCGUACACGGUGGAUGCCCUGGCAGUCAGAGGCGAUGAAGGACGUGCUAAUCUGCGAUAAGCGUCGGUAAGGUGAUAUGAACCGUUAUAACCGGCGAUUUCCGAAUGGGGAAACCCAGUGUGUUUCGACACACUAUCAUUAACUGAAUCCAUAGGUUAAUGAGGCGAACCGGGGGAACUGAAACAUCUAAGUACCCCGAGGAAAAGAAAUCAACCGAGAUUCCCCCAGUAGCGGCGAGCGAACGGGGAGGAGCCCAGAGCCUGAAUCAGUGUGUGUGUUAGUGGAAGCGUCUGGAAAGGCGCGCGAUACAGGGUGACAGCCCCGUACACAAAAAUGCACAUGCUGUGAGCUCGAUGAGUAGGGCGGGACACGUGGUAUCCUGUCUGAAUAUGGGGGGACCAUCCUCCAAGGCUAAAUACUCCUGACUGACCGAUAGUGAACCAGUACCGUGAGGGAAAGGCGAAAAGAACCCCGGCGAGGGGAGUGAAAAAGAACCUGAAACCGUGUACGUACAAGCAGUGGGAGCACGCUU